rnacentral:tRNA from 1 species
GCUUCUAAAGGACAACAGCUCGUCCAUUGGUCUUAGGAGCCAAAACUCUUGGUGCAACUCCAGGUAGAAGCU